rnacentral:snoRNA from 1 species
AGGUAAAGAAUCCACCUGCCAGGGCAGGCUAAACAUUCGCUAUAUUAAGACCAUGCAUGUGUCCCCAGACCUAGUUCUUUGCCUAGGUCUGGUUUUAUAAAUGCUGGUGAUAAAC